UUCAGUCUUCCCAGGCCCACCACUUUCAUCGAGUGAGCAUUCGUCUUCUGGUUACGGGGCCAUAGCUCAGCUGGGAGAGCGCGUGCUUUGCAAGCAUGAGGUCGUCGGUUCGAUCCCGUCUGGCUCCACCAGAUGGUUUGAUCACCUGCGACUGACCGUCGUCCGCGAAACAUCACUUCGCAUUCACUAGUCUGGAUAGACAGUGAACUGCGUGUUUUCUGACAUCGUAAAGAGGAGAUCGAUCCGAGUUGGGUCGUGCAGCAGAUUGUUGCGCGGAUCCUUCAUUAUCUCCGGAUCAUUUUCGGCGCUCGCUUUCAGCCGUGAGGCUGAACGCGAGUUGUAAAAUGAUCCUUUUAGCGAAGCUUGACCGCCUCGCUAUCGGAACGAUCUUACGAAGCAAGCUGGUCUUUCUAGUCAAUGUCCGGCUGUGAGAAUAGCGCUCGUCGAGGGCGCGUGCCGCAAGGCGGUUCUUACAGGCAGCAUUCUGCCGAGUGUGUGGACAUUGAUAAUGAGAGCAAUCAAGUGCCUUAAGGGUGUUCGGUGGAUGCCUUGGCGCUGAGAGGCGAUGAAGGACGUGCUACGCUGCGAUAAGCCGUGGGGAGCUGCGAAGAAGCUUUGAUCCGCGGAUUUCCGAAGG
rnacentral:misc_RNA from 1 species